rnacentral:tRNA from 1 species
GCCUCCGUGGUGUAACGGUUGCACAGCGGGCCUUUAACCCGUCAGGUGCAGGUUCGAGUCCUGCUGGAGGCA